GCCUCUAUACGCUCAGUGGUAGAGCGUUGCACUUGUAGCGAUAAUUCGCCCUGAAUUCAGGAAUGCAAAGGUCCGUCGUUCAAUCCGGCGUGGAGGCA
rfam:Microdochium bolleyi strain J235TASD1 unplaced genomic scaffold Micbo1qcscaffold_1, whole genome shotgun sequence.